UUACUUGCUUAAAGAGCAUUCCUAUUUAAAAGAUUCGUGUUUUAAAUUCUCUCUCCUCACUCGACUUAGCUCUCAAACGAGUUCCCCUCUAAAAAACACCUUGCUGCAAAAUCGAAGCUGCUAAAAUUGGAAUCCUUGAAAUCGAUUGCUGCAAAAUCGAAAAAGAGAAAUCGAAGCCAGAUUGAAAGGCCCAGAUCGUGGUUUCCUCUCUCCAAUCAAAUUGUGUUUCCUCUCUCCAAUAUCAGACCCAAAUCACGAUUCACCCAUCUUGGGUAGAUAGGUUGAACAAAUCGGCACUCGGCAUCCCCUAUUUCAGAUUCAAGCUCGAAAAUCUAUUUCGGUGACAAGAAGACUAAGAAUAACAUUCACUAUCAUCCUUCAUUAUGUGCUUUCUGCGAGAUUCUUUUCCUACCCAAUGUUGUCGAGGUCUAAAAAUUUUUUCCAUUCUGUAUUUUGGGCUUAUUUUGUGGUUUAUGUUUUGCUGAGCCAAUAACUUAUUUGUUAGCUCUAAGAAUUGGAAAUUUUGAUUAGUAUUAGGUUUUAUACUGGGUAUUCGGUCACUUAUUUUGGCUUUGUUUAGUUAUAAAUUUAUCAAAUUAGCUAAUUUGUUAGCUCUAACAAUUAGGAAUUUUAUACAAGUAUGGACAAACUAAGAAAAACAGAGUUGUUGAGUGACUGCCCUAGCUCUAACCUAACUGACAUUCCGCAUAAAAUUUUGAAAAUAAAUAAAGAUACAAUUUUUGUGAAAAUUUGGGAAGACCCUUAAGCUUUAUAGCUGGAUUUGCUUUAUCCCUCAUGAACUCUCUUAUUCCAUCUUCAUUACAGCAACUAGCAAGCAAGUUUCUGUAGGUAGUUGAGCACAGUAGCCACCAUUAAUUAAUUUAAUUUUUUAGAAUUUCGUUAUCUUUAUGCAGUGUACAUGUGGUAAUACUAUUGAUUGUUUGAAAUGAAAGGAGUGCAACAGUUGGUUAGUUGAUGGUUUUUUUUUCUUUUUCUUUUUCUCUGAAUUACAAAUACUUUUGUUUAUUUGUAGUAGCUGUUGAAUUAUGUAAAAUUUUAUUUCAUUUUAUUUGCAAUAGCUAUUCCACAAAAACUACGGUGUUGAGUGAUUAGAAUACAAGUAGUUAUUCAAUUAUGUAAAAUUUUCAAAGAUAUUUUCAUUGUUUCAUCUAAUUCAUGUUUACCCAAUUUCUAUAUUUGGUCUAAUAAGCACAAAUGGGGUGGUGUUGGUUGAUCUGGUAGACGCAUCUUUUUAUUUGGUGAAUAGGAAUGCUCCACUGGUUCAAAGAAGAUUUUGCUUAGUUUUGAAAAAAAAAAGUUUUACUCUUGUGUCGUCCUUCAGUACACUCUGUCGAUCCUUCAACUAACUAAGAUUUGCAAGAAUAUAAAGAUUAUUACCCAAUUUUAUGUUUGAUCUAAUCAUGACAGUUUCUCUUUGAAGGCAACAAUGAUGAAGACUUCAGCAACUACCCAAAGAGCUGACCAACCUACUCAAUAAACUCAAGGAAUUCAAGCACCUGUUGCAUAUCAAGCCACUCAAGGAAACCUAUUGCAUCUGAAAGCAUUCCACAGUUGAGAAAAUUCCCAAGUCUGGUUGAGAAAUAAAACAAUCUUCUGGUGUUUUCAUGAAUGCUCUUGGUUUGGUUGAAACAAGAAUGCUUUUGGUCUUAAUUAUUUGACCAAUUUUUAGUUUUAAGUAUGUAACACUGGUGCUUUUUGUUUACUUGCACAUGGAUGUUUUUGUUUUAGUUUCAGAGGUUUCUUUUGGUUUUAGUUGAACAGGGCUCUUUUGGUUUUACUUGCACAAGGAUGCUUUAUAUAAACAGUUGUGCUUUUUGUUUGCUACCACUA
rnacentral:lncRNA from 1 species